rnacentral:rRNA from 1 species
CAGCAGCCACGGUAAUACGAGGGGAGCUAGCGUUGUUCGGAGUUACUGGGCGUAAAGCGCGCGUAGGCGGCUUUUUAAGUCAGAGGUGAAAGCCCGGGGCUCAACCCCGGAAUUGCCUUUGAAACUGGAAAGCUAGAAUCUUGGAGAGGUCAGUGGAAUUCCGAGUGUAGAGGUGAAAUUCGUAGAUAUUCGGAAGAACACCAGUGGCGAAGGCGACUGACUGGACAAGUAUUGACGCUGAGGUGCGAAAGCGUGGGGAGCAAACAGGAUUAGAUACCCCUGUAGUCCCUGUCUCUUAUAA